rnacentral:rRNA from 1 species
AUUGAACGCUGGCGGCAGGCCUAACACAUGCAAGUCGAGCGGCCGGCGGACGGGUGAUUCAUGCCUGGCUAUUGCUCAGUCGAGGGGGAUACCAGUUGGAAACGCCUGCUAAUACCGCAUACGAUUGGAUUGUCCAGGUGGGAUUAGCUAGUGGGUUAGGUAAUGGCUCACCCAGGCGACGAUACCUAGCGGGUCUGAGAGGAUGAUCAGCCACACUGGAACGGAGACACGGUCCAGACUCCUACGGGAGGAAGCAGUGGGGAAUAUUGCACAAUGGGGGAAACCCUGAUGCAGCCAUGCCGCGUGUGUGAAGAAGGCCUUCGGGUUGUAAAGCACUUUCAGUGGGGAGGCGUUACUCGCAGAAGAAGCACCGGCUAACUCCGUGCCAGCAGCCGCGGUAAUAC